UGUAUCACUCAAAGCACAAUGCC
rnacentral:siRNA from 1 species